ensembl:processed_transcript Gm6556 predicted gene 6556
AAGGGCCCGUCCAGGCCGAGCGCCCCGGUUGCAAAAGUUGAGCUCCGCCGCGCGCGCCCUUCGCGCUCCCCUCCGCGCGCUCCUGCGCUCCUCCUCCUCCCCGCCCUCCUUCCCCAAGUUUUCACAGAUGUGGUCAGACUCUGCUCUCCUUCCCGGCUCCUUCUUCCCUCGCGCGCCCCCACCCCCGCCCCGUCCCUCUAAUUUCCGCCACUCGGAGGAGCGCUGGGGGGGACGCGCCGAGCCGCGGGACGACGCCGCCGCCGCCGCCGCCGCCGCCGCCGCAGGGGGCGAAGUUGGUUUAAAAACUUGGGAAGACUGCUCGCCUUACUUUGCUUUCCCGCUCCUUUCCAGGCCGCGCCCGGCGGGGUCCCGCUCCGCGCGCGCGGAUCCCAGGGCGCUGCGCUGAGGGGCGGCACUGAGGCCGCGCGUCGGGCCGGGCAGGGCUGGCGCGGGCAGCCGGGAGCCACGCGCUCCACCGCCUCCGCCCCUCCCGGGUCCUCACACAGACACAUCCAGGCCUGCUCCUCCUCUUCCCCCUCCUUGACCCCGCGCCCGCGCGGCGCGCCAGGCCCCACCCACCCGGCAGGAGGAAGGGGCCCGCGGGUGAUGUCACCCGAGCCCUCCAGGCCUGCGCUCCCGCGCAGCCGAGCAGCCGGGGCUCGCGCGCUGCCGGGCGCUUCGCCCAUGCCGCCUCUCUUCGCCCCCCCCCCCCCCCCCCCCCCCCCCCCGCUCUCGGGCUGGACUCCCCUUCCUUCUCUAGAGACCUCUCAGAUCGCCACUGCCCCACCCCCGCACACCUCCUGGUACUUUUCCCUAGGCCAAGCCUGAAACUUCCUCUCGCGGGAUGAUGCUUUUGAAAGUUGAAGACUUUCCUCCCCGUUGCGUUAAACUCCGUUUGGGACGUCUCGCCGUACAGCCUACUGUCCCCGUGGGCCACUUUGCAAAGAACACAAAGACCCGAGCUGGGAACCGGGACUUGAGCUGAGAACCCUGACUUGCACGGGGUUCUUUUCCUUAAGAUGCAGAGUGCCUGUCCUUGGUUUCUUUUAAAAGACCCAUGUUACUUCAACGGGCCAGUGCACUCAUCUCUCUCUCCCCAUCCAGGUACUCACCCCAACCUGUUACUUGAAAGGGAGGAUUUCAAGGGGGUGGAAGAAAGAAGAAAACCCAAGAGACAUUCCAGAAUACCGGAGUAAGCAGUUGGCCCACCAGGAGUGCCUUGGUGCUCAGGGUGCUCUGUGGCAGCCGUCUUGAAGGCAGAGUGGGUGGAUGAAUAGCUAUAAUAAUUUGAAGAACAUUUUGAAAUUCACGUGCUAAACUGGGGAAAAUUUUUAACGGAAUUGACAGUGUAUUCGUUAUUUGUUUCUGGUGACUUGUUGCUUAUGACAAAGACAAAAGCAGAGAGUGACUUAAGCUUUCAGUGUGGGGCUCCAGACACUUCUUAGCCAUUUUUAAGCUUUCUCUCCGCUACAACACUCUGUAAGGCAAAGAGUGAAACAUCCUUCACUCAUCUCGGAGUGCAGGAAUAUCAACAGAGGUAGCCCCAACCCUCCCCUCAGUAACUGGCCCCAGGCCCCAGAGUAUUCCCUCAGCCUCUGUAGACUCUGAGCCCACAGUAGAUGAGCGAGAAAAUGCAGUCCUCCUAAGUCCCGGGACGGCUAUGGAUCUCCAGUGAGAUUAUACCUGCAAAGUUAUAAAAGACGACAUCGUGUGUGAGAACUAUUUUCCUUUUUGGUAUUUCAAGUUAGUCAGAGGGAUGGUGUGUUUCAUUAAUGUCAGAUACAUUGUUUCUGGCAUUUGGGGCUGCUGCUGCCUCCACCGCGAGAAUGUAAAUACUGCAUCCUGAUAGUUUUCUCUGCUUAUCCAGUGGCAAAAGGGACAGCCCAUAAAUCACCGGGCAUAAAAUAUAAAUUUUGACUUUUACUUCUU